rnacentral:rRNA from 1 species
UACGUAGGGCGCAAGCGUUGUCCGGAAUUAUUGGGCGUAAAGAGCUCGUAGGCGGCUUGUCACGUCGGGUGUGAAAGCCCGGGGCUUAACCCCGGGUCUGCAUUCGAUACGGGCAGGCUAGAGUGUGGUAGGGGAGAUCGAAUUCCUGGUGUAGCGGUAAAAUGCGCAGAUAUCAGGAGGAACACCGGUGGCGAAGGCGGAUCUCUGGGCCAUUACUGACGCUGAGGAGCGAAAGCGUGGGGAGCGAACAGG